CCUACGGGUGGCUGCAGUGAGGAAUAUUGGUCAAUGGACGAGAGUCUGAACCAGCCAAGUAGCGUGAAGGAUGACUGCCCUAUGGGUUGUAAACUUCUUUUAUAUGGGAAUAAAAUGUUCCACGUGUGGGAUUUUGUAUGUACCAUAUGAAUAAGGAUCGGCUAACUCCGUGCCAGCAGCCGCGGUAAUACGGAGGAUCCGAGCGUUAUCCGGAUUUAUUGGGUUUAAAGGGAGCGUAGGCCGGCUUUUAAGUCAGCUGUGAAAGUCCGCGGCUCAACCGUGGAAUUGCAGUUGAAACGGGAGGCGGUGAGUGCACACAGGGAUGCCGGAAUUCAUGGGGUGGCGGUGAAAUGCUUAGAUAUCAUGAAGAACUCCGAUCGCGAAGGCAAGGGUCCGGGGUGCAACUGACGCUGAGGCUCGAAAGUGCGGGUAUCAAACAGGAUUAGAUACCCGGGUAGUC
rnacentral:rRNA from 1 species